rnacentral:tRNA from 1 species
UCCCUGGUAGCUCAGCUGGUAAAGAACCUGCCUGCAAUGCAGGAGACCCCGGUUCGAUCCCUGGGUUGGGAA